GUUUACUUUCAUAUGGAUUUCAGCCAGUGUUAUAUCCAAUGCUGUGGAUAUGGGUUUGUGCCGUAACUGAGACGUGAUGGCAACUACUGGGAAUCAUGGACUGUGAUAGUGUGGCCAUUGAAGUUGAAACUUUGCUCCAAUAAAAGACUGUUGCAGC